rnacentral:tRNA from 1 species
GGCCAGGUAGCUCAGUGAGAUGAGCGUGGUGCUGACAACAAUGACAACACCAGGGUCGCGGGUUCGAUUCCCGCUCAGUCCC